rnacentral:lncRNA from 1 species
GCCCCGGCCCGGCCCGCAAGAGCCAGAGGAGCCGAGAGGAGCCCAGCGCCGGCCCAGCGGACUCCAGCUCGACGGAGCGGCCGCGCCCCGACCAGUUACUCCCCUGCUGGUGCCUCCCUCCUUGGCGCGCUUCCCACCUGCGAUCGGCGCCCUCUUCGCAGUCACGAACUCGCCAGCAGCUAGCAGCACUGACUAGUAGGAGGGCCCGCCGGAGGAGAGGACAUGCUCUGGAGUCAGAAGACAGCGAAAAGAGAAGCAGAAGCCCCGGUGGCAAGAGUCUGAAGGAAGGAUGACUGUAGCCUGUGGAUUGUACUGCAGUAGGAAACUGUCCUAGCAAGGCUCCACUUUGCCCCAGCUUCAAGCUGGAAAGGAGGAGAACAUGAAACAUUGCUUGAAGACAAUGGCCGAGACAGCAGGUCCCACCCUGCACAGCCACCAGCAUCUCUCCCCUCAGCCCUGUCUCCUCUUCUGCAGUUGGGAUCUGCACAUUUAAGCCUGAAAUUGUCCUGUGAAGUGAAGUAUGAUCGGACAGCCUCUUUUCAGCUUUUAUGACAAUGGAGACAGAGGAAUUGUGGCUCUUGCCAAGGUCACAGGAUUGGAAUACAGAGCCAAGCCACCCCAGGACAUGCAAGAGCCUCAGAAGGGAAAAAAGCCCAGCAGGAAGGGAGAACAAGUAGCCUCUGUCCUGAAGUUGUAACAGCCAGGGGCCAGGAUGGAGGAGGAGGACCCCAUAAUCUGCCCAUCUGGGACUUGGCAGGGGACCUGGGAAAAUGUACCCCAACCCAUCCCUUAAGGGCCUUUGUCUUUGGCCCAUUGGCCUAGCAUCUACUUCUUCACCGUGUCUGUUCUUGUCACACCUAGUCAGGUCUGUUUGGGUCUGAGGUGCAUGGAACAUUCUGGGUAGGCCUCCAGCAAACGGAAGCUCUUCACCGUGUUUCCAGCCUGGGACCAAGGGCAGCAUACUGGCAAAGUUGCCAAAGCAAGGGACUCCAGCCUCUUAGGAGUUAAUGACUCCCUCUCCCCAGCUGUCCUCCCCUUGGUGCUCCUCUUCCUCCCUCCUCCUGCUCACAGCAGGCAGGGCCUAGACCCGGGAGCCAUGCUGCUGUGCUGUUGCCAGGGGAGCACGGAGGCAGAUCUGAGCUAUGCAGGGAAAAGGCCCAGCCUGUCAAAGUGUCUGAGAUGAACCGCCGCCGUCCCUGUGCAGCUGGGCUCAGACGUGUCUCAGCUCUUGUUCUGUGCCUGAGAAUGGCGAAACCCAGUGAGGUUCAAGGGCAAACUCGCUAUUCAUUAGUCAGGGGUUCUUGACGUCCCGUCUCUCCCAGGGAUGAGUUCCCCCCUCCUCUUUCUCCCCCUCCUAUGACACAUUCCUGGGUGCCUUUGGUGAGGACUGCACACCCUCCUCCUGCCUAGCCCCCUCUCCAAAGGCCCCUGAAUAAACUCCCCCCAAGGAGACCAGGCAGGGCAGAGACAAUGGCUGCAGGAAAUCAUUCAGGCGGGACAUGCUGGCCUGCCCUCCACCCAGUCCCCCUGUGGGCCCCACUCCCUUCUGAUUCAGGGCACCCUUGGGCCCCCAGCCUAUACAGGCCUGGACAGGAAGAAACCACUGGGAACCACCCUAAGGACAACAUGCUAGUCCAGUGCCAUUCUUCGCUGGCUCUGUGGGUGCCUUUGUGGCCUGUACCGACUGGCUGGCUAAUUUUGUGGUUUCUGUACCAUCACAUGCCUAUUUUAAGACACUCUCCAGCACUGUCGGUUAGGGAGUGUAAAUUUUGCAAUAUUUUCUGAAAUGUGGCAAUAUCAAAAUGUAAAAGGCACACAUACUUGGUCACAAACAAAUGGCACUAUUUACUCUGUGGGCAUAUUUGUAAAAGUUGCCAAAGAAUUAUAUACAAGGAUGUUCAUCAGAGCAUUUCUUUUGAAGAGUAAAGAAAUGGACAUGAACCUGUGGUCCGUUCAUACGGUGGAAUACCUAUGCAGCUGUAAAAAUCAGUGUGGUAGAUCUCCGUAUAUGAGUUGAUGUGGAAGGUUGGCCAGUUCACAUGAUAAGGUGAAUAGAAUAAGUUACAGAACAGGCUGUAGAGUAUGAUCUUAUUUGUAGAUGUUUAAAACUGAGUCAUAAGUAUGCUUAUAUACAGAUCGUUUCUGGAAGUAUGUACUGGAAGUCUACCUCUGGGGAGUGGGGAUGGGGGAGUGCACUCUUCUAUACUGUUAUAUUUUCUUUUCAUGCUCCUAAGGUACUUUUAUUGGAAGAUGUAAAGCGGUUCAAUGUAAUAGGCUUAACUUCUGUCAACUAAGUUGGCGUGGGUGCUUUAAGAGGGUGGUAGUGAUGUUGCUGGAGAAAGUAUCCCACAGUCACUGGUGGCUUCAGCCACGGGCCAUUUUGGGGCCUAAUAAUCACAUAUCAUCAUGGUUGCUAGUGUUAAUCGAAAACCUACUAAGUGCCAGGCUUACUGUCUCUGGGUCUUGCUUACGUGGAUGUCAUUUUUCCAGUUGCACCAAAUCGAAAGAGGUUAAUUGGUUUGUUGGAGUUCCUUUGUAGGUGAAGGGCAGAGCCAGGAGCUUGGCUAGGGACAGGGGAGGUGAGUGGGGGAUGGUGGAUAGGUCUUGGCUCCCAGUUUCCUUCUGGGCAGACAUUGCCCCUCUGCCCUGAGGACCUGCUUGUUUGGGGGAAGAGGCCUUUAGAGGCACCAGGGUCAUGCCAGGUGUUGGACAUGGUGAACUGGGAAGUGCUCCCAUCUGGCCACAGCGCAGAAGUAUCACCGUGCUGGGGGAUGGGGAACAGGGCUGUGAAUGGGCCUAUUUGCAUAAGCAGCAUGUGUCUGGAGAGAAAGACAUCACAGAGCAGAAGAGUGCGGGUGCCCAGGAGUGCACUUGCCACCCCUACUUCAUCCCUGAAAGAGUAAAUGGCCUGGAAGGUGUCUCUGAGAGGUAAUGCCGCACACCACCCUCCCUGGGGGCAGGGUCAGGCUACACCUGCCUUAGGUCGGGGGCUGCAGCAGCCUGAGAGCUCUCAGUAGGGCCUCAGUAGCCUGGGAGGGAGCAGGGGCAGGGGGCAGGGAAAGAGGCGUAAUGGGGCUGUCCAGAGGGGCCUGGGAAACCUGGUCCCUGAGGCCUGGGCACAGCUACAAUCACUUCAAAUUGGCUGUGGGGCCAGUGGACUGGGAAGGAAAAAAGCAAUAAGAGUGACCAAGUGCAGAAGGCUGUCAGGUCCCAGGUCACAUGCCUUAGUGCAGUGACUCCUCAUCAUUUUAUGGGGUGUGGGUGUCGUUGGUACACCCAUUUUACAGAUGAGGACACCGAGGCCCAGAAAAGUUAAGUUACAUGUCCUAAGUCACACAGCUUGUAAGUGCCAGAACUGAGAUCAAAACCAAGUCUCUUUGACUUUAAAGUCUGUACUCUGACCCCAAAGAGAUCCUGUUUGGCCACUUAUAGGAGGUCCCUAAAGCUGCAGACUCCCCUUGCCGGCACCCACAUAUAGAGACAUUAACCCUUCCCCUGCAGGGUCACCUCAAAUAGUCUUUUAGCUGGGCUUCUCCUGCAAUUCCACCUAAUGCCAUCCCCUGGGUUUUGCCCAAACCUGAACUGGGCAGUGGGGUGAGAGGAGGGGUUUACAGGGUUACAGAGCCUCAUACAGAUAGGAGCCCAUGGCUGCUGGUCAUCUGCAUUCCUGCAGGAUUGGCUGUUCCUUGGGGUCCUUGGCAGGAAAAUGAGGAUUGCUCCGAGGCCUGCUCCAGUACUUCCCAGAGGCUGGCCUGGUGUGGGGCUCUGGGAAGGCUGAGGCUGGAGAAGCGUAAGUAGGAGGGCAGAGAUGGCACUCAGGUAGCUUGAAUCACCAGGACCCUUCCAAGCCCCACAGGUUCUGAGGGAGUACUAGGGCCAGCUCUGGGAGAGGUCUCUUCCUAUGCUGUGAACCCCCUGCCUUUCUUGCAGCCUACAACGAAUAAAUUUUCUUUGCAAAGG